rnacentral:lncRNA from 1 species
AUGAUUCCUUUGUCUCACUCUCAUCUGGAUCUCUGUGGCUGGCUUUAUCUCAACCUCUCUAUGGCAGGUAAGAACUCUUGGUUUUCCCUCUCUUUCUAACUGUGCGAUUCAAAUGAUUCGCAUCAUAGCAGAAAGUAUUUCAACUUUGAAUUAUGGUCUAGGCUUUCUAGCGAAAUGAUUUAUAUGUCCUAUUUUAAUUUAGGUUUAAUGAUUUGGGUAUUGAAUCGCAAGUCCAUUUUUUUUGGAUUUAUAUAGGAUUUGGAUUUAUAUAGGUUUUGGUAAUUUUUUCAACUUAUAAUUCGAUUUUUUUGUUUCUUUCGAAUUGUUCUCUCUCCCACCUCUCCCCUUUCUCUUUCUCAGAUAGAUCGUUGCUACUUUCUUACUUUUUUUAUUAUUUGAAUUUGAGGGUUGGAAGCUUGUGAGUUGUUCAUUCUUGAUAAUGAUACGGGACUUUAAAUUGAUGGCCUUCAGACUGCAUAUCGUUCAAACAUUGGGUUCUUGAAGGAAGAUGCUAGAUGAUGGAGCAUCCAUUUCAGCCUUGAAGAGAUAUUGCAGGUUUCUGUUUUGUAAGCUGUGUGUAUUCUAUGUUUGAUAACUUGAAAUUUUGUGUAGUAUGUUUACUUGAGAUCUUAAUGUUAAAAUAAUGAUCUAGAACUUGAGAUAGGAUUGAGACAUUUAUUGUCCUCCAUGACAAUGGAGCAAAUUGGUGUACAUUACAACCCAUUAGAUCCAUGACUUCUUAUAAUGGAUUAUUUUUGUGCUUGAGAUAAUUUAGUCCGAAUUGUAGAGUAAUAUCUUUAGUUUAUAAUCUAAAUUAGUUCUGAUUUUUCAGUGAACAAUUCAAAAUUUGGUAUGGAUGUCCUUCUUGGUGGGUUUUCUAACAUUUCUUUAAAUACAAUUGCAUACGAAUGACGUUGCUGUGAAAAAAGUGAAAAAAGUAACAUGUUGAUACAAUGUUGUUUCGUGAUGAACUGGAAAUACACAAAGAUUUGAUUCACUCUAGUAGGCUUAGUUGCGUAGAUAUUUGAAGAAUUAAGUCAGCAUGCUAGUAAUUGCUAUUGGCUCAUGGCUGAUUGUGUCUUGGUGUGACUUUUUCUAUCAUCCAAAGUUGGAGGUCCUAUCCUUGCUAGUUGUUUGGGAACACAGAGACGUGAAGAUGAAUAUGCACUUUGGGUUUCCCUUGUCCGAUGGUUCGCUGAUCAUCACAAGUGUUUUGAUUUGCUUUCUGGUUCGUUCAAUGUAUAGUAAAAUAUCGCUAUAUAAUUUAUUUCCUCUUCUUUUGCAGCGGGAGUAGCUAUUUUCAUUUUACUGAUAUCAUUUUACUCAACUCGUGAAGGUGAGGACUUCACUAGCAAGAUACAUAUAUAAUGCUACAAAUUUUUUUGUGAAAUUAUACUGUGAUUCCCUUCUUUGUUUUCUUCUCAUUGUAUUUUUUUCUUGAAACAUUUGACAGUACAAGGAGUCACAGAGGCAGAAAAAUUCGGCGAUUCAUAUCUUUUGUGGCUAAUGAGUUGGUGAUGUGUGUUUUAUUGUGAAUGGUAGUUUGAGUAUGUCAUGUCAAGUUGGCUACAUAAGAAAUACACAAAUUCCUGGGAAGAAUACGAUUUCUUGAAUUGUUUAUUAGGAGUAGGAUGUGUUUACUUGAUUGUCGACAUUAUAUUUAGUUUUUCAUAAAUGCAUUAGAAUGGUUAAAAGCACUACAAAUUCUAUUGUUUUUACUUUUAGGUACUGAAAGCAUGGAAGAGAAGAAAAAUGAAAUGACAGAGGUCGUUUGGCAAUUACCAUUCAGACGAUUGGCUUUCACAAAUUAG